AUUGAGCGCUGGCGGCAGGCCUAACACAUGCAAGUCGAACGGUAACAGAAAGCAGCUUGCUGCUUUGCCGACGAGUGGCGGACGGGUGAGUAAUGUCUGGGGAACUGUCUGAUGGAGGGGGAUAACUACUGGGAACGGUAGCUAAUACCGCAUAACGUCGCAAGACCAAAGAGGGGGACCUUCGGGCCUCUUGCCAUCGGGUGUGCCCAGAUGGGAUUAGCUAGUAGGUGGGGUAACGGCUCACCUAGGCGACGAUCCCUAGCUGGUCUGAGAGGAUGACCAGCCACACUGGAACUGAGACACGGUCCAGACUCCUACGGGAGGCAGCAGUGGGGAAUAUUGCACAAUGGGCGCAAGCCUGAUGCAGCCAUGCCGCGUGUAUGAAGAAGGCCUUCGGGUUGUAAAGUACUUUCAGCGGGGAGGAAGGGAGUAAAGUUAAUACCUUUGCUCAUUGACGUUACCCGCAGAAGAAGCACCGGCUAACUCCGUG
rnacentral:rRNA from 1 species